AGAGUUUGAUCAUGGCUCAGGACGAACGCUGGCGGCGUGCCUAAUACAUGCAAGUCGUACGAAUUGAUUAAGGAGCUUGCUCCUUAUGACGUUAGUGGCGAACGGGUGAGUAACACGUGGGUAACCUACCUUCAAGAGGGGGAUAACAUCCGGAAACGGGUGCUAAUACCGCAUAGUUUCAGCUUCCACAUGGAAGCUGAAGGAAAGACGGCCUUUGUGCUGUCACUUGGAGAUGGACCCGCGGCGCAUUAGUUAGUUGGUAGGGUAACGGCCUACCAAGACGAUGAUGCGUAGCCGACCUGAGAGGGUGAUCGGCCACAUUGGGACUGAGACACGGCCCAAACUCCUACGGGAGGCAGCAGUAGGGAAUCUUCCGCAUGGACGAAAGUCUGACGGAGCAACGCCGCGUGAGUGAAGAAGGUUUUCGGAUCGUAAAACUCUGUUGUUGGAGAAGAACAAGUAGGAGAGUAACUGCUCUUACCUUGACGGUACCCAACCAGAAAGCCACGGCUAACUACGUGCCAGCAGCCGCGGUAAUACGUAGGUGGCAAGCGUUGUCCGGAUUUAUUGGGCGUAAAGCGAGCGCAGGCGGUUCCUUAAGUCUGAUGUGAAAGCCCACGGCUCAACCGUGGAAGGUCAUUGGAAACUGGGGAACUUGAAUGCAGAAGAGGAGAGUGGAAUUCCAUGUGUAGCGGUGAAAUGCGUAGAUAUAUGGAGGAACACCAGUGGCGAAGGCGACUCUCUGGUCUGUAAUUGACGCUGAGGCUCGAAAGCGUGGGGAGCAAACAGGAUUAGAUACCCUGGUAGUCC
rnacentral:rRNA from 1 species